rnacentral:rRNA from 1 species
AGUGAACGCUGGCGGCGUGCUUAACACAUGCAAGUCGAACGAGAACGGAUUAUAGCUUGCUAUAAUUGUCAGCUAAGUGGCGCACGGGUGAGUAAUGUAUAGGUAAUAUGCCUCUUACUAAGGGAUAACAAAUGGAAACGUUUGCUAAUACCUUAUACUCCUUAUUAACAGAAGUUAAUUAGGGACAGAUUUAUUGGUAAGAGAUUAGCCUGUAUUGUAUCAGUUAGUUGGUGGGGUAAUGGCUUACCAAGACUAUGAAACAUAACUGGUUUGAGAGGAUGAUCAGUAACACUGGAACUGAGACACGGUCCAGACUCCUACGGGAGGCAGCAGUGGGGAAUAUUGCACAAUGGACGAAAGUCUGAUGCAGCAACGCCGCGUGGAGGAUGACACAUUUCGGUGCGUAGACUCCUUUUAUAUGAGAAGAUAAUGACGGUAUUAUAUGAAUAAGCACCGGCUAACUCCGUGCCAGCCGCCGCAGUAA